rnacentral:lncRNA from 1 species
AACCUGGCUUCCUGGAACCGCAGCCCGGCCCGCGCCCAGUCGCUCUGCCCACCCGGCCCGGGUUUCCUGCCCGGCUCCCCGCCUCCCCCUGGCUGGAGCACCAGAUGCCUCACAGUGUCACAGCCCGCAGGGUGGAAAGACUCUGACAAGGGGCUGCCCCGGUCAGAGAUCCUCUGGAUGCGGACAGCUCUAAGUCACGAAGACCAGGGCCCCCGUUGGAAUCUGCAGAGGGUCCAAAGUGAGGAGCUCAGCGCACCCAGCCGAAUCUUGCUGCUGUCAACCAUCAGCAGUACUCCGGAGCCUCCCUGAGCCUCGGUUUCCUGAUCUGCAGAAUGGAUCCACAGCAGCCUCCUGCUUCCCUCUGCACCUGAUGGUUCUCUCGGGCUCCGCUGGGCUGCGCCUGGUCCCCAGCUGGCACCCUCACCCCACCCCUGCCAGCUGCUCCCUUCUCACCCCCUCUCCAAGAUUCAUGCUCUGACCCCACGGGGCAGCACUCAGGGUGCUGAGGCCCAUCCGCCCCCCUGAGGUGGCCCCUCCCUCCACUCCUGCAGCUCAGCUCUCACCAGGUGUGGUAGGGACAGCUGGGCUCCCUGAGCUCCCGGCUCAUGGACCCCUCUCAGCUUUCCAUGCCCCGCAGUCUCAGCCCCACUUUUCCCCUCCUGGAAUAUUGGAGUUGGAAAAAUUAAGAGCUCCUUUUGCAAAAGGAACUUGAGAGGUUAAUGUGGCCCGGAGAUGUCACCAGGUACCGGCUGUGAUCGGCUGGGGGCUGCCCCUAGCGUAGCAUUGAAGAAUCUAAAGCUGUCCCCAGGCUCUGCAGGAAGGCAGGCUGUGAUCAAUUAGAAAUGUCUGCCAAGCAGGGGUGUAAUCAAUUAGCAAAGUCUGCACGGCUCGGGAUUUAUGAGUGCAAGGAAUUGUUAUCCAUGGUCUGGGUCACCAUUUUUUUUAGGGCACUACAAAAACAUGAUUGAUUAAUAGACAGACAGAGACAUCAAGUGCAAUAUUUCCCAGGGACAGAUCUGUGAAGCAUAUGACAGAUGUUAGAUAGCUCCCGGACACCAAAUAAGAUCAGCCUGACUCCUAGUAGAGAAAGAUAAUACAAUUCUUCUGUUUGCUCUCAAGGACAAAGUAUCCAUUUAGUUUUCAAUAAUUUCCCGUUACUUGCUAAUCUCCCCUCCAGACCAAAAGACAACAGACUUCCACUGAGC